UACAGAGGUCCCAAGCGUUGUCCGGAAUCAUUGGGCGUAAAGAGCGCGUAGGCGGCCAGAUAAGUCCGGUGUGAAAGUCAAAGGCUCAACCUUUGAAUGCCGCUGGAAACUGUCUGGCUAGAGUCCGGGAGGGGCGAGUGGAAUUCCUGGUGUAGCGGUGAAAUGCGCAGAUAUCAGGAGGAACACCAAUGGCGAAGGCAGCUCGCUGGAACGGUACUGACGCUGAGGCGCGAAAGCGUGGGGAGCGAACAGG
rnacentral:rRNA from 1 species